AUUGAACGCUGGCGGCAGGCCUAACACAUGCAAGUCGAACGAGUGGCGGACGGGUGAGUAAUGUCUGGGCAACUGCCCGAUGGAGGGGGAUAACUACUGGACACGGUAGCUAAUACCGCAUACCAUCGGAUGUGCCCAGAUGGGAGUAGCUAGUAGGUGGGGUAACGGCGCACCUAGGCGACGACCCCUAGCUGGUCUGAGAGGAUGACCAGGCACACUGGAAGUGAUACAGGGUCCAGACUCCUAGGUGAGGCGGCAGUGGGGAAUAUUGGCCAAUGGGCGCAAGCCGGAUGCAGCCAGGCCGGGUGUAUGAAGAAGGCCUUCGGGUUGUAAAGUACUUUCAGCGAGGAGGCGUUACUCGCAGAAGAAGCACCGGCGAACUCCGUGCCAGCAGCCGCGGUAAUAC
rnacentral:rRNA from 1 species